GAUGAACGCUGGCGGCGUGCCUAAUACAUGCAAGUCGAGCGAACAGACGAGGAGCUUGCUCCUCUGACGUUAGCGGCGGACGGGUGAGUAACACGUGGAUAACCUACCUAUAAGACUGGGAUAACUUCGGGAAACCGGAGCUAAUACCGGAUAAUAUAUUGAACCGCAUGGUUCAAUAGUGAAAGACGGUUUUGCUGUCACUUAUAGAUGGAUCCGCGCCGCAUUAGCUAGUUGGUAAGGUAACGGCUUACCAAGGCAACGAUGCGUAGCCGACCUGAGAGGGUGAUCGGCCACAAUGGAACUGAGAAACGGUCCAGAGUCCUACGGGAGGCAGCAGUAGGGAAUCUUACGCAAUGGGCGAAAGCCUGACGGAGCAACGCCGCGUGAGUGAUGAAGGUCUUCGGAUCGUAAAACUCUGUUAUUAGGGAAGAACAAAUGUGUAAGUAACUAUGCACGUCUUGACGGUACCUGAUCAGAAAGCCACGGCUAACUACGUG
rnacentral:rRNA from 1 species